rnacentral:rRNA from 1 species
ACGUAGGUGGCAAGCGUUGUCCGGAAUUAUUGGGCGUAAAGCGCGCGCAGGCGGUCCUUUAAGUCUGAUGUGAAAGCCCACGGCUCAACCGUGGAGGGUCAUUGGAAACUGGGGGACUUGAGUGCAGAAGAGGAAAGCGGAAUUCCACGUGUAGCGGUGAAAUGCGUAGAUAUCGGUAGGAACACCAGUGGCGAAGGCGGUCUCCUGGGGCCUGUUUGACGCUGAGGCGCGAAAGCUGGGGGAGCGAACGGGA